UUGUUGGCACUGUAUCGCCUUAACAUGUUCAUUCAGCAGCAUUCACACUCAUUUGACAGGUUUGGGAAAGGAAAGCCUUCAUGGUGAUAUAUUUUAAAGGGAGGUUCUCCCUUCACCCUGAAAUGGGUGAAUCCCCUAUUUGGGAACGCUCAUUGCAGACACCUUAGAGAAGGAGGGCAAGUACACAGUUUCAGGUUCUCCUAGAUUUAGAGGGAAAAAGAAACUGCAACAGAGAUGUGCAUACCAGGCAAAGAAGUUAGAAUCCAAGAAGCAGAGUCUGGGGCUCUGGACACCAGAAAAGCUGGUCCCUCCCGAGCUCCCUGUUAGGGCAGCUGAAUUCUGUUUCUCAGGUGUGCAUUCCACUAAUACUGCAAAAAGGGAUUAGCCCCGAAGCACCUGUGAUCGUCUAAGCUCAGGCUUAGACUUGGAACACAGCAAGAUAAGCUUUUCCAGGAAGGAAUUCUUGUUUAAACAGAACCCAAUGUUGUUUUCCCACGCUUUUCACUUACCACUGAGCCAUCUUUUUCUUUCGUUUCUAAACAAACUUUCUGGGGGUCUCAAGCUGAAGCCCAUCCUGAUUCACUCACACUCACUAAUCCCCUCACUUACAAUAGUCUGAGGUCCUGAAAACCUGGAUCUCUUACCCACCUGCUAGUCGUUAAAACAAUUACAUGGUUAGGAGCUCACAAACAAAGCAAUUCAUAAUGGGCCCGGGUCCUAUUUCCCCUAGGUCCCCUGUGAGGGCGGAUGAAUUAUGUCCUUGUCCCCUCCAGGACCGGUGUCUCUGGAACAAUGACACACACAUAAAAGCGCAGAAGCGGGGAGUCUUUUUUACUGCUCCUGUCUGUCUGUCUCCCCAAACCCUCACCUCACAGAAUACUUAACCUUAUGGAAUAUGAAGAGAUUCCCAUUAGCAGAGACAGCUGCUAUGAUUCAUCACAUGCAUUGGAAAAAAAAUACUGCUAUUGUUAACCUGUAUUUUACCUAUGAUAACCUUCCUGCCUCUUAAGAAACUCAAAUACAGUGAAGGAAGAGAUGACAAUUAAUUGGGCUGGGACUUCCCUGGUGGUAAAGUAGAUAGGGAUCCGUCCGCCAGUGCAGGGAAGACAAGUACAGUUCCUGCUCCAGGAAGGUUCCACGUGCCAUGGGGCAACCAAGCCCGUAUACCACAACUACUGAGCCCAUGCUCUAGAGCCACGAACCACAACCACGGAGCUCGUGUGCCACAACCACUGAAGCCCACACACCUUAGGGCCCACACGUUGCAACUACUGAAGCCCACGUGCCUAGAGUCUGUGCUCUGCGACAAGAGAAGCCACCACAGAGAGAAGCUGGCGCACUGCAGCAAAGAGCAGCCCCCACUCACCACAACUAGAGAAUGCCCGCAAGUAGCAACGAAGACUCAGCACAGCCAAAAAUAAAAUAGAUAAGUUACAAUUAAAAAAAAAAGAAGAGUAAUUUUUAAAAUACAAAUCAGUAGCAUUGGAAAUGUUCCAAAUAGCUGAAGUCUCAUC
ensembl:lncRNA